GACGAACGCUGGCGGCGUGCUUAACACAUGCAAGUCGAACGGAAAGGCCCUGCUUUUGUGGGGUGCUCGAGUGGCGAACGGGUGAGUAACACGUGAGUAACCUGCCCUUGACUUUGGGAUAACUUCAGGAAACUGGGGCUAAUACCGGAUAGGAGCUCCUGCUGCACGGUGGGGGUUGGAAAGUUUCGGCGGUUGGGGAUGGACUCGCGGCUUAUCAGCUUGUUGGUGGGGUAGUGGCUUACCAAGGCUUUGACGGGUAGCCGGCCUGAGAGGGUGACCGGCCACAUUGGGACUGAGAUACGGCCCAGACUCCUACGGGAGGCAGCAGUGGGGAAUAUUGCACAAUGGGCGGAAGCCUGAUGCAGCAACGCCGCGUGCGGGAUGACGGCCUUCGGGUUGUAAACCGCUUUCGCCUGUGACGAAGCGUGAGUGGCGGUAAUGGGUAAAGAAGCACCGGCUAACUACGUG
rnacentral:rRNA from 1 species